rnacentral:pre_miRNA from 1 species
AGCGGAAUUGCUGAGUCAUAUGGUAACUCUGUGUUUAACCUUUUAAGGAACUGCCAAGCUGUUUUCCAUAGUGGCUGCACCAUUUUACAUUCCCACCAGCAAU